rnacentral:tRNA from 1 species
GGCCCCAUCGUCUAGAGGCCUAGGACACCGCCCUUUCAAGGCGAGAACCGGGGUUCGAAUCCCCGUGGGGUCACCA